ACUCCUACGGGAGGCAGCAGUGGGGAAUAUUGGACAAUGGGGGAAACCCUGAUCCAGCCAUGCCGCGUGUGUGAAGAAGGCCUUCGGGUUGUAAAGCACUUUCAGUUGGGGAGGAAAGGUUGCAGGUUAAUACCCUGUAGCUGUGACGUUACCCACAGAAGAAGCACCGGCUAACUCCGUGCCAGCAGCCGCGGUAAUACGGAGGGUGCAAGCGUUAAU
rnacentral:rRNA from 1 species